GGGGCUGUAGCUUAGUUGGUAGAGCGCGUCGUUCGCAACGACGAGGUCGUCGGUUCGAGCCCGAUCAGCUCCACCA
rnacentral:tRNA from 1 species